AUUGAACGCUGGCGGCAGGCCUAACACAUGCAAGUCGAGCGAGCGGCGGACGGGUGAGUAAUGUCUGGGAAACUGCCUGUUGUAGGGGGAUAACUACUGGAAACGGUAUCUAAUACCGCAUACCCUCAGAUGUGCCCAGAUGGGAUUAGCUAGUAGGUGUGGUAACGGCUCAACUAGGCGACGAUCCCUAGCUGGUCUGAGAGGAUGACCAGCAACACUGGAACUGAGACACGGUCCAGACUCCUACGGGAGGCAGAAGUGGGGAAUAUGGCACAAGGGGCGCAAGCCUGAUGCAGCCAUGCCGAGUGUGUGAAGAAGGCCUUCGGGUUGUAAAGCACUUUCAGCGGGGAGGCGUUACCCGCAGAAGAAGCACCGGCUAACUCCGUGCCAGCAGCCGCGGUAAUAC
rnacentral:rRNA from 1 species